rnacentral:tRNA from 1 species
GUCGCUUUAGCUCACUUGGGAGAGCGCCAGACUGAAGCCUCAACUUCAGUUGCGAAAUCUGGAGGCACUGUGUUCGAUCCACAGAAGCGACA